rnacentral:lncRNA from 1 species
CUAAGGAAGUCUGAGGAAGAAUUUGGUUUCAAUCAUCCAAUGGGCGGUAUCACAAUUCCCUGCAGAGAAGACAUCUUUAUUAAUCUUACUUCAUGUUAGAUUUGAAAAUCAUCAACCACAAUUUUGUAUAUUGUACAUAUUAUUCCCAACGAGAUAUAAAGAUAACUAUAGUUCCUCUUUUACUCAAUAAUGCCUGCUGCUAUAUGAUCAUUUUCAGAGCCAGGGUAGUUUUUUUUCUGAUAAUAUUUUCCUGUAAUUUCCACAUAUCAACUCAAUGAUCAAAACCCAUGAAGGCUGAACUAACCGUUAAUAUAUUAGGCUAUUUUAUCUUUUUAUAUUUUUCCUGGGUGUAUUUUAUUCGAAAACUUAUAGAGAAAUAAGAAAACUCUAGCUGCCGUGGAUGUAACCAAGUUAAUGUUAAAUCUGUGUGUUGAUUUCUUUUCGUACUUAUUUUUAAAUUGUAUAAUUGUUUGAUUCUUAUCAACGGGUAUCAGAGUUUUUUAGUUCCUAUCACAACAAUCUGAAAAAGACGAUAGAAAGUCCGAAGGUUCCAAUUGAGAAGUUCAAUGGAACCGAUUUUGGUUUCUAGAAGAUGCAGAUUGAACCUUCAUAAAGAGAAGUCAGAAACUAUGAAACAUGAGAUGCCACAUCUAAACUCUGAUACGGAGGUUUAAUAAGUAAACUUUUUAAUAAUUUGAGGGACCAACUAAUAAAUUUUUAAAAUUAUAGGAGCUAAAUAAUAAAAUACUUAUAGAGGGACUAACUAGUAGAUAUUUUAAAAUGUCAAGAAGGUUUUAAUGUAUUUUUCAAAAUUAAUGAACUAAUUAACGAGUUUAUUCAUAUCAUAAGGAUUAAAUAGUAAUUUUUUUUAUUUUGUUAUUGAUAAGGGUAUUUUUGAAAUUAUAUUUAAUCUAUUUCCUUUAACCAGGUUUAAAUCAUUGACUUAACAAAAAUUUUUUAUGGAGGGACUUUCGAUGAAAUUAAAUUUUAGGGACGAAAGUGUUGGAUUCCAAAAACAGAAAGACAAAUCCGUUAUUUAUGCUAUAUUUCAUAGACUAAAAAGUAAUUUUUCCUUAUAAUAAUAAUAUAAAUUUUAAUAUCACAAAUUUUAAUUUUAGGCAAAAUGGCUAAAAAAAUCCCUGAAUUUUAAAAAAACUUACAAUUAAAUCCUGACCUUUUAGAUUUUUAUCGAUUGUACCUUGAAAUUUGUUGAUGUGGCAUAUGAUGUAGCAAAUGACAUAGUAAUAAUGUAGCAAAUGAUGUUAGACACUAACCGUAGAAGUUGAAACAGUCCGGUCUAAACUGACCUAAAUAACUUUUGGACUCACUUUUCACUUGGUUCAAAAUGGUUAACCUAAAUAAUUUGGUAGUUUCGUACUAGCUAUUAUAUACAAUUCAAAAUUGUUGUAAUUCGCCGAUGUGGGACGAUUUUCCACAAGCAGACAGCUGACCGUUACACUCGGUCCUGCUAAAUUUGUGACGUCUUUAUCGCAACUAAAUCGAAUAUAAUUGCUAAACAGGAUCUGACCCUUGGGUACUGUGGUUCGCUAGUACCUCGGACGACUCCACCCGUAUGAUACAAAUAGCCUUUUCCUCGCAAGUCCGCUAGCUCCGCACAAUUUGUCUGACUAUCAAUUGAAACGGUCCUAUUUUGGACCCCACUUUCCACUUGUGGUCCAAAAUAGUUAACUCAAGUUAUUUAGUAGUUUUGUGCUAACUAUUAUAUACAAUUCCCAAUUGCCGUAAUUCGCCUAGGAUGAUCUCCCACAAGUAGGCAGCAGACCGUUACAAAAGUAACGAUGGAUAUAUUUGGAACAACAUAUGAUGUUCAGAGUUUAAUUGAUAAUUAAAUUCAUAUGGAUGUAAUUGUAAAAAUUCUAAAAUGAUAGGAUUUUUUUGGUGAUUAACUCUAUACUAUAUCAUAACUUAUAUAAACAUAAGAUCCACGUAUAAACAAAUAAUCACUCAUCCGUUAUUUAUAAACUUUAUAAACAUAUAUAUAUCAACUUCAAUAAAAAUAUAUAUCAAAACUAUUUGAAACAUCAAACACUUCCAAUUCAUGGCACCAGAAAAAAAAA